GGGAAAAUUACUGACAUUCUCUCAGCCUCAGUCUCCUCAUUUAUGAAGUGGAGAUGCCGAGUCAUACCUCUUAGAGGUGUUGUGAGGAUGAAAUGAAACAGGAAAAUGCACAGUGCGGUGCUUGGCAGAGGAGGAAGACAGUGGUCGUAUAGUGCCCUUGGAUGAGAAAUGGAAACUUCUGAGCUGCAGCUUCGGUUUAUGCUCAAAGCCUGCAUUGUUUGUCUUCAUCUAAUCCAGCUUUGAUGGACAUCUGUGGCAGUUGCCUGCACACGUGCUCGAAUGAAGUAUUAGAAAUGGCUAUACAUUCAAAAGAAACCCCGUAUUAUAUACCCACAUCACUGCUGCUAGUGUUCAUAUUUUUGCACAUACUGUUUAUUGCUUAUGUGUAGAAGAAAUGAAACUAGUUUCAGAGUUGUUAUUCUUGUGAAUAUAUAACAUGUAUUAAUAUUGAGACCAAAAAAUACAUUUCCAGCAUUAGCAGUCCUUCAUUUCCUGUCUCCAGAAUAAUGUAAUUCUUGAUAAUAAAUAAGAGUUUUGAUGAAGAGUAAUAUACAGCUUACAAGGGAAUGUAAAGGAUUAGUAAAAAAAUUAUAUCUCCCGUCAUUUUUCGGCCCCUCACACCACAUUGAUGUCAGGCUGGUUUGUUAUUAUGGAAAACAACUUGGGAGUUAAUGCAAGAACAUAAUACUCACUUUAUAUUACUUUCUUACGAACAGGAUUUACUUGAAUACAUGAAUCUAAUCAUGUUUAUUUGAUAGAAGCUGUGGUUUCUAGGAAUUUGAGAAAGGCAUAGGAAAUAAAUAGGACAAAAAGGAAAUGGUACCUUGAAUAGCAUUUUUUCCAUGAUAGAAACAUAAAUUUAAUAGUAUCCUAUAAUAAUUUAGUACUGUACAUUUUUUAAGACUUUAAAAAAUUCUAUGGAUUUCAUGUCUUCUGUAUAUAUCAGAUGUGUCUUUCAAAGGUGACCAACAGUACCUUUAUUUUAAUUUUUUAAGUGCUACUGACAAAUUUAAGCAUAUGCUUAGAUACAGUUAGAUGUGACAGAAUGAGAUAAUUUACAUAAAGUAGUACAGUGGCACAAAACAGGUACUUAAUAUAUAUAUUUGUUGUUAUAAUUAUUGUUGUAAAACUAAUAACUUCAAUAACAUGGUCCCAAUUUGGAGGGAUUUUGUGAUGCAAAUUAUCUAAGUUAGAAAUAGAAAUAAUACAGAUGAGAUAAGCAUGUGCUGAGAGAUUUUAGAUGUGUUGGUAGAGGUAAUAACGAGAGCAUUAAGUUCAAAUAAAAAUUGCACCAAGUAUCCCCGAAAACAGAAGUGUAGACGGUUCACGAUGGAGCCUUGGGCAAGGAGAGAAAGGACAAGAGUCGCAGCAGAGUGAGGCACAGCGGAGGCUGUGAAGGGUCAGGAUCUGUGCGCACCCUGGGCCACCUCAGGGCAGCACCAGGCGGGGCCUGUGACUGGCAGAGGCAGGCCCUGGAUUCUUCCUGUCUGCGAUUUCUUCUGCAUGUACAGAAAUGAAGAAAUGGCACAGCGUGGCUAUUAGAACUGUGGCAUAUUUAAACAUUUAUAUCUUACGGAAUAAAACUGAUACCACAUGCUUGCCAAACAUGGACUGCAGGUGUAGCCUCGUUUGUAGUUAACAUCAAAAGACAAACUCUGAAGCCUUUCGUGAAUGAGAGGCCAGAUGGCGCUGGGGGCACGCCCUCUGUUGACCCCGUAUUCAGGCCCUGGGACAAAACGGUACACAGGCUGCCAGCCUCUCUGCUCUCCACACAGUAGGUAUUGAGCCGCCAGGGACUUUUCUUGAAUCUAACUUCUGAUGCUUCUAGUAGUCGCCACCCACCUGUCCCUUAAAAAUGCAAAAUAAACGGACAAAAACUAAUUCAAAUGA